rnacentral:rRNA from 1 species
CCUACGGGCGGCAGCAGUGGGGAAUAUUGGACAAUGGGGGGAACCCUGAUCCAGCCAUGCCGCGUGUGUGAAGAAGGCCCUCGGGUUGUAAAGCACUUUCAGUGAGGAAGAACGCCUGGUGGUUAAUACCCAUCAGGAAAGACAUCACUCACAGAAGAAGCACCGGCUAACUCCGUGCCAGCAGCCGCGGUAAUACGGAGGGUGCGAGCGUUAAUCGGAAUUACUGGGCGUAAAGCGCGCGUAGGUGGCUUGAUAAGCCGGUUGUGAAAGCCCCGGGCUCAACCUGGGAACGGCAUCCGGAACUGUCAAGCUAGAGUGCAGGAGAGGAAGGUAGAAUUCCCGGUGUAGCGGUGAAAUGCGUAGAGAUCGGGAGGAAUACCAGUGGCGAAGGCGGCCUUCUGGACUGACACUGACACUGAGGUGCGAAAGCGUGGGUAGCAAACAGGAUUAGAUACCCGAGUAGUUC